CUUGCUUCUCUUGAGAGCGGCGGACGGGUGAGUAAUGCCUAGGAAUCUGCCUGGUAGUGGGGGAUAACGUCCGGAAACGGACGCUAAUACCGCAUACGUCCUACGGGAGAAAGCAGGGGACCUUCGGGCCUUGCGCUAUCAGAUGAGCCUAGGUCGGAUUAGCUAGUUGGUGGGGUAAUGGCUCACCAAGGCGACGAUCCGUAACUGGUCUGAGAGGAUGAUCAGUCACACUGGAACUGAGACACGGUCCAGACUCCUACGGGAGGCAGCAGUGGGGAAUAUUGGACAAUGGGCGAAAGCCUGAUCCAGCCAUGCCGCGUGUGUGAAGAAGGUCUUCGGAUUGUAAAGCACUUUAAGUUGGGAGGAAGGGCAGUAAAUUAAUACUUUGCUGUUUUGACGUUACCGACAGAAUAAGCACCGGCUAACUCUGUGCCAGCAGCCGCGGUAAUACAGAGGGUGCAAGCGUUAAUCGGAAUUACUGGGCGUAAAGCGCGCGUAGGUGGUUCGUUAAGUUGGAUGUGAAAUCCCCGGGCUCAACCUGGGAACUGCAUUCAAAACUGACGAGCUAGAGUAUGGUAGAGGGUGGUGGAAUUUCCUGUGUAGCGGUGAUAUGCGUAGAUAUAGGAAGGAACACCAGUGGCGAAAGCGACCACCUGGACUGAUACUGACACUGAGGUGCGAAAGCGUGGGGAGCAAACAGGAUUAGAUACCCCUGGUAGUCCACGCCGUAAACGAUGUCAACUAGCCGUUGGGAGCCUUG
rnacentral:rRNA from 1 species